UUUAAUCAUUUGAUUGUUGCAUCUCAUUUUGUUAAGAAAGGCUAUUAACCUUUUCUUUUUCUCCUACAAUGGAGAAUUUUAAAGAUCACUGCUGCCUAUUAUAUUAAAGAAAAAUAAUUUAAAACAAAUUUUGUUGUUUAACCAUUGCUUUCAGGACAAUUUUAGACUAUAGAGACAUUUUUUAAAUGAAAUAUUGCUUCCAAAUGUGCCACAGUUUAUCUAUAAAUUUUAAAUGGCAUACUCACAAUUUACUUAGCAAUCUUUGGGACUUCCGUAUGUCAUACAGUUAUUACAGAAGCAUUUUUAAAAUCAAGUGGACCUGAAAGAAUCUGGUAUCUAUGAAAUGGAGAUAGGUCCGAUCACCUCCCCACACCUGGCAGUUCCUCCACGUGCGCCGAGCCGUCUUCUGAACUGCCUGCGUCUUCGUGGACCUCCUUAAAUCUUUCUGGAAACAAGGCCGCUUACAAU
rnacentral:lncRNA from 1 species